UUGGAUUGUGAAUCCAAUUUAAUUAGGUCCAUUAUUUUAAUAGUUUAGGUGUCGCACCGGUGUUUCCUUCGAGAGUUAGCCGCUAGCACCGUUGAUCUCGAAGAUCAAUCGACGAAGUCGGUAUGGAUACCAGUAAAUGCAUCACGUGUGGGGCGCUCGAUCGACGAAUUAAUAUUAACUAGGCCCCAUGAAACUAGCAACCCGAUUCGAAGUUCGUGGCAAAAUCGGAAUAAACAGCCGCUAGUGGGUUGGCAAAUCGAGGAGAGAAUUAUUGGAUGUUUCCUAGCCGGGCUAAUCUUGCAAGGAAACAAUUGAGUGCAUAAAGUUGGCAGCUUACAUGAGGAAGUUUCCUGAUUUCUUUCCUAGAUGUGGCCGGUUACGAUCCUGGAUGUGGCUUCAUUCGACAAGAUCCUUAAUCUAAGGGAAUGUUUACCAAGAGAGAGAAUAUAUAUAUAUAUAUAUAUAUGACUUGAUUGGAGGACAAGCUAGAAGAGGAUGACUAUAUACAUGGGGAUCUAUGGCACUAAAUGAGGAAUGGAAGAUUGCAUGCAUGAAUGCUUCUCUGGACGUGCACAAAUGGGAUAAAAUUCAUUUCCUUGCAUUUUCUUUAUAAUUAGGAAUAAUUGGAGAUCGCUCUCCAAGACUAGCUAGAAUAUUAUAUCUUUCCGAGUUUUAGCAAGUAGAUUAGGCAAUUAGUAGAUAGUUACUUGCUCUCUUUAUUUUGUUAGAAUAAUGCUAAAUAUUACUCAGAUUAAGUCUCCUAGGUCCAACCUAUGAGAGCAAACAUGGCCAUCCAUCGUAACCCUCUCCGCGACAACACAACAACAUGAUGCUUAUCUAAUCUAUCUUUACAUUCAUCUAUUCA